rnacentral:rRNA from 1 species
GGUUUUCGGAUCGUAAAACUCUGUUGUUAGGGAAGAACAAGUAUCGGAGUAACUGCCGGUACCUUGACGGUACCUAACCAGAAAGCCACGGCUAACUACGUGCCAGCAGCCGCGGUAAUACGUAGGUGGCAAGCGUUGUCCGGAAUUAUUGGGCGUAAAGCGCGCGCAGGCGGUCCUUUAAGUCUGAUGUGAAAGCCCACGGCUCAACCGUGGAGGGUCAUUGGAAACUGGGGGACUUGAGUGCAGAAGAGGAGAGUGGAAUUCCACGUGUAGCGGUGAAAUGCGUAGAGAUGUGGAGGAACACCAGUGGCGAAGGCGACUCUCUGGUCUGUAACUGACGCUGAGGCGCGAAAGCGUGGGGAGCGAACAGGAUUAGAUACCCUGGUAGUCCACGCCGUAAACGAUGAGUGCUAAGUGUUAGAGGGUUUCCGCCCUUUAGUGCUGCAGCAAACGCAUUAAGCACUCCGCCUGGGGAGUACGGCCGCAAGGCUGAAACUCAAAGGAAUUGACGGGGGCCCGCACAAGCGGUGGAGCAUGUGGUUUAAUUCGAAGCAACGCGAAGAACCUUACCAGGUCUUGACAUCCUCUGACAACCCUAGAGAUAGGGCGUUCCCCUUCGGGGGACAGAGUGACAGGUGGUGCAUGGUUGUCGUCAGCUCGUGUCGUGAGAUGUUGGGUUAAGUCCCGCAACGAGCGCAACCCUUGA